CACUCCUGCGGGAGGCAGCAGUGGGGAAUAUUGGACAAUGGGCGCAAGCCUGAUCCAGCCAUGCCGCGUGAGUGAUGAAGGCCCUAGGGUUGUAAAGCUCUUUCACCGGUGAAGAUAAUGACGGUAACCGGAGAAGAAGCCCCGGCUAACUUCGUGCCAGCAGCCGCGGUAAUACGAAGGGGGCUAGCGUUGUUCGGAUUUACUGGGCGUAAAGCGCACGUAGGCGGACUAUUAAGUCAGGGGUGAAAUCCCGGGGCUCAACCCCGGAACUGCCUUUGAUACUGGUAGUCUUGAGUUCGAGAGAGGUGAGUGGAAUUCCGAGUGUAGAGGUGAAAGUCGUAGAUAUUCGGAGGAACACCAGUGGCGAAGGCGGCUCACUGGCUCGAUACUGACGCUGAGGUGCGAAAGCGUGGGGAGCAAACAGGAUUAGAAACCCCAGUAGUCCC
rnacentral:rRNA from 1 species